CCCGUUAACGUUACACAAAAUGGUUUAAACAUAUUAAAUAUGCAUACCCUAACACUUGCCACAUUGUAUAUUCACCUGGCACGUGUGACCAAAGUCAAACGUACGUGAGAAAUUGGCCUUUAUUCGAUGAGUUCACGUGCCGUUUACUAAGUACAAAUUCCUAAAUUUCGUGUACACAACAACAUUGGGAUAUCGAUCGUGAGAAACACUGAUUUUUUUGUUCUCUCUCAUGAAGACCAAAACCUAUUCAAUUAUUUUCUUCCCAUCAAUCGAACACAUAAAUGAGCAGAAGAAGAAACCAAAUACUCUUCCCUCAUACAAUUCCAAGCUAAGCUUAUAAGAACACGAUAUGUCAAUAAAGAAUGCUCUGCAUAAUUCAUAUAACCAUGACAUUUUUCUAGUAAACAUCUGUGCCAGAUUCACGAGCAAUAACUCCCACUUAUGGUAGAGUCGUGAAAAGAUUUAAACAAGAGUCGAGCUUCGUUCAUGCAUUCCAAGUCUAGUCAAUAUCCUAGUAUAAUAUUGAUCAGGAGACAGAAAGCAAUAUGCCCUCAAUUUCUCCUCUCUUUUUUCACUCAAAAGCAAAUACAAAAACCGAACAUAUUAGCCUUCACCACCAGAUGCCCCAAGCUUCAUAAAGUGAACACCACAGAAAAAGAAAAAAAUAUUAAUUUUCAUCCACUCCAUGGUAGAGCACAAGAUGUAAUUGUUAUUAAAAUUGCAGAGUAUUUAGUAUAAGAUAGCGCCAGAGUAUAUGGUAGAUAUAUGCCCGACUACAUAAUGUGAAGCUUAACAGCAUAGUGCAAUAUUAUCCCAUCAAAAUCAAGAGA
rnacentral:lncRNA from 1 species